CCUACGGGCGGCAGCAGUGAGGAAUAUUGGUCAAUGGACGCAAGUCUGAACCAGCCAUGCCGCGUGAGGGAAGACGGCUCUGUGAGUUGUAAACUGCUUUUGUACGGGGGUAAACGCAGAUACGCGUAUCUGUCUGAAAGUAUCGUACGAAUAAGGAUCGGCUAACUCCGUGCCAGCAGCCGCGGUAAUACGGAGGAUUCAAGCGUUAUCCGGAUUUAUUGGGUUUAAAGGGUGCGUAGGCGGUCGGAUAAGUUAGAGGUGAAAUCCCGAGGCUCAACUUCGGAAUUGCCUCUGAUACUGGUGGGCUAGAGAGUAGGUGCGGUAGGCGGAAUGUAUGGUGUAGCGGUGAAAUGCUUAGAGAUCAUACAGAACACCGAUUGCGAAGGCAGCUUACCAAGCUAAUGCUGACGUUGAGGCACGAAAGCGUGGGGAGCAAACAGGAUUAGAUACCCUUGUAGUC
rnacentral:rRNA from 1 species